rnacentral:rRNA from 1 species
CGUACUUGUACUGAUUGAGAUUUUAACACGAAGUGAGUGGCGAACGGGUGAGUAACACGUGGGUAACCUGCCCAGAAGUAGGGGAUAACACCUGGAAACAGAUGCUAAUACCGUAUAACAGAGAAAACCGCAUGGUUUUCUUUUAAAAGAUGGCUCUGCUAUCACUUCUGGAUGGACCCGCGGCGUAUUAGCUAGUUGGUGAGGUAAAGGCUCACCAAGGCAGUGAUACGUAGCCGACCUGAGAGGGUAAUCGGCCACAUUGGGACUGAGACACGGCCCAGACUCCUACGGGAGGCAGCAGUAGGGAAUCUUCCACAAUGGACGCAAGUCUGAUGGAGCAACGCCGCGUGAGUGAAGAAGGGUUUCGGCUCGUAAAGCUCUGUUGUUAAAGAAGAACGUGGGUAAGAGUAACUGUUUACCCAGUGACGGUAUUUAACCAGAAAGCCACGGCUAACUACGUGCCAGCAGCCGCGGUAAUACGUAGGUGGCAAGCGUUAUCCGGAUUUAUUGGGCGUAAAGCGAGCGCAGGCGGUCUUUUAAGUCUAAUGUGAAAGCCUUCGGCUCAACCGAAGAAGUGCAUUGGAAACUGGGAGACUUGAGUGCAGAAGAGGACAGUGGAACUCCAUGUGUAGCGGUGAAAUGCGUAGAUAUAUGGAAGAACACCAGUGGCGAAGGCGGCUGUCUGGUCUGCAACUGACGCUGAGGCUCGAAAGCAUGGGUAGCGAACAGGAUUAGAUACCCUGGUAGUCCAUGCCGUAAACGAUGAUUACUAAGUGUUGGAGGGUUUCCGCCCUUCAGUGCUGCAGCUAACGCAUUAAGUAAUCCGCCUGGGGAGUACGACCGCAAGGUUGAAACUCAAAAGAAUUGACGGGGGCCCGCACAAGCGGUGGAGCAUGUGGUUUAAUUCGAAGCUACGCGAAGAACCUUACCAGGUCUUGACAUCUUCUGACAGUCUAAGAGAUUAGAGGUUCCCUUCGGGGACAGAAUGACAGGUGGUGCAUGGUUGUCGUCAGCUCCUGUCCUGGAAAUGUUGGGGUUAAGU